AUUGAACGCUGGCGGCAUGCUUUACACAUGCAAGUCGAACGGUAACAGGCCGCAAGGUGCUGACGAGUGGCGAACGGGUGAGUAAUGCAUCGGAACGUGCCCAGUCGUGGGGGAUAACGCAGCGAAAGCUGCGCUAAUACCGCAUACGAUCUAUGGAUGAAAGCGGGGGACCGUAAGGCCUCGCGCGAUUGGAGCGGCCGAUGUCAGAUUAGGUAGUUGGUGGGGUAAAGGCUCACCAAGCCAACGAUCUGUAGCUGGUCCGAGAGGACGACCAGCCACACUGGGACUGAGACACGGCCCAGACUCCUACGGGAGGCAGCAGUGGGGAAUUUUGGACAAUGGGCGCAAGCCUGAUCCAGCAAUGCCGCGUGCAGGAAGAAGGCCUUCGGGUUGUAAACUGCUUUUGUACGGAACGAAACGGCUCUGGUUAAUACCUGGGGCUAAUGACGGUACCGUAAGAAUAAGCACCGGCUAACUACGUGCCAGCAGCCGCUGUAAGAC
rnacentral:rRNA from 1 species